UGAAGUUAUGGAUUGAGUUUGGGUUGACAAUAAGACUGACGAAAUCCCAAAGUGGUUGUUAGAAGACAAAGAAAUUACAAGAUGAAUUUGCACCUAUAACACACUGCUAUGGAAGUCAAUCUGUGCCAUCUGAUUUUGAAUUUGAAUUCCUAAAGCUGAAUUUUGUUUGCAUCAAAAUCAGACUUUGAAUUUCAAUCCCAUCAAAUUUCAAGCAAGCAUUUUUAUUUCUUACACUUUUUUCACAAUGAUGAAAUAAAUUCAGCGUAAAAAAAUCAUAUUCAUGUAGUAAAAAUUCGACUUAAAAAAAACUGUUUAGAAACAUCAAAAAAAUUUCAGUGUCAAAAAAUUUAGUGUAAAACAGACCGACUCAACAUCAGGGUAACCAGGGAGAAGCAAUCGAUUCCUGGCUCAAUCAUCCAUCGUCGAGCCAAUCAAUUAAUGCUAGAUUGGUCAUGUGGCACCAACCCCAGUGGAAGAUUGAGGAGUCGAUUGCUUCUCCCUGAUUACCCGGAUAUUGAGUAGGACUCAAUCCCAAACCGCCCCCAACACACUCGCCCUUCACUACCAAGUGUCCCUUGUGAUAAAGUUACACUCACAGCUGUGGAGUGCGCCUCAAUUGAAAUAGGAGGGUAUGAACAAGACAGGAGGGUAUGGGACGCCCUCCUCACUCCACUGGAAAAUGGAAAGAUUCAUCGCCAUAGCAACAUAAAGACGCAUCCUGUGCAUGGCAGCGUUUCUUGGACACAUACGGAACUCAAAUUUGUAUGUUGUUUCCUCCGCCUUCAUUUUUGCCGGCGCAUUACCUGCAAAUCCUGCUGUAAGUGUGCAUUGGUGCAGACUCGCUAUUUGAGGGCUGAACGGUCCACUCACCCUCCUUACUCUGUGGUUUGGGACGACCUUCAAUAUGGUGGGGACACGCAAACGGAGGGGGAGUGUGUAGGUCGAGUGUGUAGGGGCAGUUUGGGAUGGGGCCUUGGUUUAUUUUACACUGAAUUUUUUAAAACUGAAUUUUUUUUUAAGUUGAAUUUUUUUACACAGAUUUUUUUUAAGUUGGAUUUUUACUAAACAAAUUUUUUUGAAGGGCUGAUUUUUUUCACUGAAUUUUUUUUAUCAUUGUGAAAAAAUAGGUUUUAGAAAUAAAAAGCAUGUUUGACAUUCAAUAGUUUCAAAAUACAAAGUCUGAUUUUGAUGCAAAAUAAAUCAGCUUUAGAAACUCAAAUUCAAAAUCAGAUGGCACAGAUUUACUUCCAUACACUGUCUUAUUAUACAACUUUCACCAUCUCUCCCUGGGAGUCUACCUGAAGAUGGCGCUCCAUCUCCUUGAAAGACAACCAUGCUGCUCGUGCACGCGCAGGUGCGUGUUCGGGUGCCACAGCUAGAGAGAGGGAGCUGCUGUCUGCCUCCUCUCCGGCGCUGCUUCCUCCCCGUCGCUGCAGUGCUUUGCUGCUCUCCUCUCUCUCUUUCUUUCUUUCUCGCUUUCGUACCCAGCGCCUCGCCUCUUCCUCCUCCUCCGUCUCUUCCACGUCCUCUCCUCUCCUCCUCCACCACCUUCCCCGCUGAUGUCUCAGGCUUGCACCCCCGGCCAAGCACACCGGCAAAUGGUCGUUCCAUUCCCAGCAACUCUGGACGCAGGACGCAGCGGAAAAGGCGCACCGAUCUGUUUGUGAUCUGAUCUGAAGCACGCUGCGGAUUUGACUUGAAGGAGAGGCGGACCAAAGGGGGCAGAGAGGAAACAAGGAGAAGCCGGUCGCUGAUUAGUGGCCAGGAUCUCAUUUCGGUAAGUCAUCACGUUGUUUUCCCAGCUGUACACUGAACAUGAUCGGGCAGACAGAGAGGCGAGCAGGUGAUAGCGAUCGCCUGUGAUUUUUAGCCCAUUAUCGUCUCUCAGAGUGGGACUUGAUCGCGCAAUUUGGAGAUACGCAUGACUUCUGCCUCAUGCAUGGUGGAUGAUUCUGGGAAAGUGUGGGUUUCAAAAUGAUGCCCUGCUCCUGCUAACAACCUUGCUGGGAGGCUUCUCUCAGAAACAAGCGCCCAGCUGUGCUCAGAUCACCCAACACACAGCAGAUAUUUGGCCCCAGCUGACUGCUGACCCAAAUUCUCCAUUGGUGGUGCUUUAAAGUGCUCUAAAGGUCUGGAAAACACCUUGUAAACAAAAGAAGGGCUUUGGUUGCUCUGCCUCAUAGGAUGAUGAUUAUUUCUUUUCACAACUGGGAGAAGUUGAGUUUUUGUUUCAUGCUUAAAAAUACCCCAAAAUGCCACCUUAAAUUAUACCGAAGGCUAAGAUAGAUUGGUUUUUUAAUCAUGAAUGUUCCUGAGUCGUCAUAUGGCGGUGUUGCCUUUAAAUCUCAUUAUUUGACGAUCCCAUUAAGUUUGAUGGAAUUUCUCUUUGUCUGGAACAUCCUGUUGGAGGUGAUGCAAGGAUAAGAGUAGGGAUAAGGACUCCACACCUUUCCCACAGCCGUACUUGAGCGUUGAUCAAUAGACAUUUGCAGAAGGGGGGGGAUUGUGAGCUGGCAGUUUGUCAAGGGCGUACAAUUUAUCCAGCAGAUGAUGUGGAGGAGGAGGGCAGGGCUGCUGUUAGGCAUGCUGUGGGUUCAUGUUCAGAUGACUGCAUGCUCUCACUCAGGUAGGUGCAUGAUGGACAGAGAGGGGAAAGGUGCCAGUGAAUGCUCAGGUCUAUGAAUAUUGUCUUUUAGUGUAAGUGCUGCUGAAGUUUGGGUUUAAAUUUGCAGGUUAAGAAGUGGUCAGGUAAGCAGGCGUGCAACACGGAGAGCACAAUCCCCUCUAAUUCCCCUUAAACUGACCUCUGGUGCAGUAAUAUGGGGAUAUAGAUUUUGCUUAUUCCUCAGAGAGUGUAUUAGUCACCUUUUCUACGACUUUCAGUGAUGACAGUACAACAUUUUCCUCCCCUGUAAGCACACAUCUUCAGUCACAUCAAUAGAUUUUUAUUAUUGAAGGAUAAGCAGCAUUACAAAAGAUCCAUCACUGUGGGAACUGUGUCUCCCUCUCUCAGAUAUACACACACUCCAUCCUCUCUCUAAAUUUCCUAAAGAUUAGCUUCUUUUUAUGUCCAGUGAAUGUCUCCAGUGGGCAUGAAAAGCCUCGUCCUUCAUCGCGGACACAGAUUAAGCUAAUUCACACAGCAGCACAGGCCUAAUGCCUAAUCACUAUGCUGCGCCGGCAGAACAGAGCAGUCUUUAUACUGUGCUAGGAGAGAGAGCAAAGGGGGGAAAGCUAGCCGCCGGUGCCUAUUGAUCGGACGGAGGGGCUACUGGCAGGCGUCCACAGGAUGGAGUGCUGACAACAGUCCAAAGAGCUGCCGGGAUGAGCUGGCCCGCCUGUCGCCUUAUAGAGUAGUGCUGAUGAGGAGGGAAGAGUUUGAGUUAUAGUCGUCUUCCUCCCUGUAGCAGACCGAGCUGCAGGGAGAAUUUAGAAAUACUGUUUUCUGCUAUGAAUUUGGUUUUCCUCUCAGAAUUAGAGUGGGCUGUGGUUUGGAGCAUUGAUAGUGUUGCAGAUCAAACAUCAUUCUGUGCCAGGCAUGAAUCUAAUACAGCUUUUAGCAUGCUUAACCCAGAGCCAAGUCUUGACGUGUGAAAUGUGCAAGGAUUGAGUGCUUGAGAGGUUGGAAAUCCCCUUCAAUUGCCCACUUUUGAUGUUAUGUUGCUUUAAAACCAUCCUUUUAUGCUGUGCAGGUAAUAUGAUAUACUGAUAUUAUAAGUUUUAUAGUGAAGGAAAUAGCUCCUCUCAAUUUGUCCAAGGUAAAAUAUUUUUAUAACAAGGCAGGAAUCCCCUUGUUGGAUGUCCUUCCCAUCUAAUUCUGCUUGUUCCAGGACUUUUCAUGAUUGAUGUGACAUGAAAGGUGGUGUGGUGAACAGGGACGCUGUCCUUCAACAUCUGUCAAUGAGUAAAAAAUGGAUUUCAAACUAGUCCCGGGGCUGUCGUAAGCUUGAAUCUCACUUAAAGGUGCAGAGUGGAGUAUUUUUUCUGCAUGUAGCAGAACAGGUAUGGUGAAAAUUUAACAUAAUAUUUGUAAGUAUGUUUAAUUCAGUGUAAAAAUCCCCUGAGAACUAAAAGCAUUUUGCUUUUGGUAACUUAGAACAAGUCUUUUAUGAUUAUCUUGGGGGGGUCCCUAACCAUAGAGGCAGCCAUGUUUCAGACAUACCCAUUUUUAUUGGUCAUAAGAAGAAGAAGAAGAAGAAGCAUUGGCUGUGUCUGAAAUAGAUCCCUAACCCCUAUAUAGGUGACUACAAGGGGGUUAGCACCAUUUUGAGGCGUGUCCGAAAUCUCAGUAAUCAAUUCCAGUGCCCUAUAUGGGUGACUCAAAAUUUCCCAUAAAGCAUUGCAAAAUGUAGUGACCAUCCGAUGGUCACUCACCGGUGGUGGGCAUCCCGUCAUGCAUUGGGUCAUGCCAUGUAGUGUCCGAAACCUCCGGUAAUUGAGUUCACUACAUAGUCAACUAUAUAGUAAAAUCCCAUAUGGGGGUAAGGGGUUAGGCAUUGAGUGAUCUAUUUCGGACACAGCCAUUAUCUUAUCAGUGGGAGGGGUGAGCAAGGGGGUGUUUUAAUCUACAAUCUAACCAGAUAUCACAAAGUUUUUCUACUUACUGUACAGUGAAAGCUCCUUUCACAUGUAGACAACUUGGUUCCUCUUGCGUCCUUUCUGGCCUCAAAGUAGCAAAAUUUUAAAACCUAGAAUAUUAAAAUUGUAAAUCUUUAUGCUGAUGUUAUUUUGUAGUUUUGCAGACCACUAUGAAGCCAUAUGUUAAUUUUAGUCUGUCUCGAAACAACAAAAACAUUUUCUCUUGGCAUGUCUGGCCAGGGGUGUCUACUUUGACCCCAUUUGAAAUGUGAUUGGCCACCCAAAAAUCCUAAACCAUGAUUGGCUGUUUGCCUAAUUAGAGCUAAGUUUUAUGUUCAGAUUAUUUUGACUGUGUUAUUAAAGGCUGCUAGACACUCUUCUAGCAUUUUUAGUCUGUUUGUUUUUGUUGAUACCUCAGAUGGAGAUUUUAAACAAAGGUCUUCCGCUAAUAGGAGUUUAACAUUGCCUCUCAGUUGUUCACAAUCAUGCUAGAUUAGCAGAAGUAAAUAAUGGAUAUUUAAAGGUAAAUAUAUGUAGUUAAAGUGUGUGCUCAAUGCCAGUCCUUCAAAAAUAAGGGCCCCAGUCUGGCCACCCAAAUGAAAUAAUUUAGAUAUGCCCCUGCUCACAGGAGCUGUAAGAAUACAGGGCCUCAAGGUUCCCCUCCAUCCUCAGUGAACUAGACAUCUAUGUCAUAAUACCUCUAAAUUAAUGUCACAUUGUCCCCUCAGAGUAUGUUUUCAUUUGUUUUUCAGGACAUAAAUAUUAAACAUAAUGCACUAAUGGCAUUCCUCUAGAGGAGCAAUGAUGCCCAGAGGCAAAUACCUCUUUGAGAUGUGACACCAGCCCAGAGGCAAGAUCUGAUUUUGUUAAUUUGUCAACAUGAAGUGAAAAAGAAAGCUAUUGUUGUAUUGACUGUGCAUCUUUUAUUAUCAGUCGAGAUAUUGACUGAUAUGAAAUUAAGCUUGUGUUGUGACUUUUUUUUCCCUUGAAGUCUCAAAGGGAGCUAUUUUCUAUCAGUGAGAAGUGUUUCUUUGUUGAUUUCCUUUCUAUCUAUCACUACUACAUGACUUAUGAAAAGCAUUCAUCAGGCGGCAGUAUGAAAGUAGACCAAGAUGAAAGGGAGAAUACUGAAAUUCAAAAGUGAAUACUUGAAUUUAACACUUUGAUGUCCUCACUUCUUUAACCUUGUUAUCUAUUUUUCAUGUUUUCCUCUGUUCCUACACUAAAAUGCAAUUUGAAUGAUCCCCAA
rnacentral:lncRNA from 1 species